rnacentral:rRNA from 1 species
UACGAAGGGGGCUAGCGUUGCUCGGAAUCACUGGGCGUAAAGGGUGCGUAGGCGGGUCUUUUAAGUCAGGGGUGAAAUCCUGGAGCUCAACUCCAGAACUGCCUUUGAUACUGAAGAUCUUGAGUUCGGGAGAGGUGAGUGGAACUGCGAGUGUAGAGGUGAAAUUCGUAGAUAUUCGCAAGAACACCAGUGGCGAAGGCGGCUCACUGGCCCGAUACUGACGCUGGAGGCACGAAAGCGUGGGGAGCAA